AGUGUAGUUGAAGUAGCUGGAAUAAGUAGUGUAGCGGUGAAAUGCAUAGAUAUUACUUAGAACACCAAUUGCGAAGGCAGGUUACUAAGUUACAACUGACGCUGAUGGACGAAAGCGUGGGGAGCGAACAGGAUUAGAUACCCUGGUAGUCCACGCCGUAAACGAUGCUUACUCGUUUUUGGGCUUUUAAGGUUCAGAGACUAAGCGAAAGUGAUAAGUAAGCCACCUGGGGAGUACGAACGCAAGUUUGAAACUCAAAGGAAUUGACGGGGGCCCGCACAAGCGGUGGAUUAUGUGGUUUAAUUCGAUGAUACGCGAGGAACCUUACCAAGGCUUAAAUGGGAAUUGACAGUUUCAGAAAUGAGAUUUUCUUCGGACAAUUUUCAAGGUGCUGCAUGGUUGUCGUCAGCUCGUGCCGUGAGGUGUUAGGUUAAGUCCUGCAACGAGCGCAACCCCUGUUACUAGUUGCUACCAUUAAGUUGAGGACUCUAGUAAGACUGCCUACGCAAGUAGAGAGGAAGGUGGGGAUGACGUCAAAUCAUCACGGCCCUUACGCCUUGGGCCACACACGUAAUACAAUGGCCGGUACAGAGGGCAGCUACACAGCGAUGUGAUGCAAAUCUCGAAAGCCGGUCUCAGUUCGGAUUGGAGUCUGCAACUCGACUCUAUGAAGCUGGAAUCGCUAGUAAUCGCGCAUCAGCCAUGGCGCGGUGAAUACG
rnacentral:rRNA from 1 species